GGUGAGAUGGCCGAGCGGUUGAAGGCGCACGCCUGGAAAGUGUGUAUAUGAAAACAUAUCAGGGGUUCGAAUCCCCUUCUCACCU
rnacentral:tRNA from 1 species